GAUAAGAUAGGAUAAGUUAGUCCGUAAGGUUCAUACCCUUUUAGUGUUUUCUCUUGUUA
rnacentral:tRNA from 1 species